ACACUUGCCUGGCAGGGAUGGUUCCAUGAUCAUGAAGGUGGUUUCCCCAGGGUGGGCCUUAUCCAUUGCACUCCAGAUGGGCUGACCCCUGCAAAUUCCCCAAAUAUGGGAAACUCAACUGUGUAAUCUGUGGUAGUGGGAGACUGCAUCCACAUUCUUCCC